rnacentral:misc_RNA from 1 species
GAUGAAGAACGUAGCGAAAUGCGAUGAGUAAUGUGAAUUGCAGAAUUCAGUGAAUCAUCGAAUCUUUGAACGCACAUUGCGCCCGCCAGUAUUCUGGCGGGCAUGCCUGUCCGAGCGUCAUUUCAACCCUCGAACCCCUCCGGGGGUCCGGCGUUGGGGAUCGGGAACCCCUAAGACGGGAUCCCGGCCCCGAAAUACAGUGGCGGUCUCGCCGCAGCCUCUCAUGCGCAGUAGUUUGCACAACUCGCACCGGGAGCGCGGCGCGUCCACGUCCGUAAAACACCCAACUUCUGAAAUGUUGACCUCGGAUCAGGUAGGAAUACCCGCUGAACUUAAGCAUAUCAAUAAGCGGAGGA